rnacentral:rRNA from 1 species
AUACGUAGGUGGCAAGCGUUGUCCGGAAUUAUUGGGCGUAAAGCGCGCGCAGGUGGUUCCUUAAGUCUGAUGUGAAAGCCCCCGGCUCAACCGGGGAGGGUCAUUGGAAACUGGGGAACUUGAGUGCAGAAGAGGAUAGUGGAAUUCCAAGUGUAGCGGUGAAAUGCGUAGAGAUUUGGAGGAACACCAGUGGCGAAGGCGACUGUCUGGUCUGUAACUGACACUGAGGCGCGAAAGCGUGGGGAGCAAACAGGAUUAGAUACCCUGGUAGUCCACGCCGUAAACGAUGAGUGCUAAGUGUUAGGGGGUUUCCGCCCCUUAGUGCUGCAGCUAACGCAAUAAGCACUCCGCCUGGGGAGUACGGUCGCAAGACUGAAACUCAAAGGAAUUGACGGGG